rnacentral:rRNA from 1 species
GAAACCAACAGGGAUUGCCCCAGUAACGGCGAGUGAAGCGGCAAAAGCUCAAAUUUGAAAUCUGGCCUCCUACGGGGGUCCGAGUUGUAAUUUGUAGAGGAUGCUUCGGGUGUGGCCGCCGUCUAAGUUCCUUGGAACAGGACGUCAGAGAGGGUGAGAAUCCCGUCUUGGGCGGCCGGUCCGCGCCCGUGUGAAGCUCCUUCGAAGAGUCGAGUUGUUUGGGAAUGCAGCUCUAAGCGGGUGGUAAAUUUCAUCUAAAGCUAAAUACUGGUCGGAGACCGAUAGCGCACAAGUAGAGUGAUCGAAAGGUUAAAAGCACCUUGAAAAGGGAGUUAAACAGCACGUGAAAUUGUUGAAAGGGAAGCGCUUGCGGCCAGACUCGGGGGCGGGGUUCAGCGGGUGCUCGUCGCCCGUGCACUCCCCGUCUCCCGGGCCAGCAUCAGUUUCGACGGCCGGUCAAAGGCCUCCGGAAUGUGUCGUCUCUCGGGACGUCUUAUAGCCGGGGGUGCAAUGCGGCCCGUCGGGACUGAGGAACGCGCUUCGGCUCGGAUGCUGGCGUAAUGGCCGUAAGCGGCCCGUCUUGAACACGGACCA